rnacentral:rRNA from 1 species
GUGGGGAAUCUUGCGCAAUGGGCGAAAGCCUGACGCAGCCAUGCCGCGUGAAUGAUGAAGGUCUUAGGAUUGUAAAAUUCUUUCACCGGGGACGAUAAUGACGGUACCCGGAGAAGAAGCCCCGGCUAACUUCGUGCCAGCAGCCGCGGUAAUACGAACGGGGCUAGCGUUGCUCGGUAUUACUGGGCGUAAAGGGCGCGUAGGCGGACAGUUUAGUCAGAGGUGAAAGCCCAGGGCUCAACCUUGGAAUUGCCUUUGAUACUGGCUGUCUUGAGUACGGGAGAGGUGAGUGGAACUCCGAGUGUAGAGGUGAAAUUCGUAGAUAUUCGGAAGAACACCAGUGGCGAAGGCGACUCACUGGCCCGUUACUGACGCUGAGGCGCGAAAGCGUGGGGAGCAAACAGGAUUAGAAACCCCGGUAGUCC